AGCAGCCGCGGUAAUUCCAGCUCCAAUAGCGUAUAUUAAAGUUGUUGCAGUUAAAAAGCUCGUAGUUGAAUUUCGGGGUCAGUAGUCUGGUCGUGCCACUGGUAUGUACUGGGCUCACUGAUUCCUCCUUCCUGAUGAACUGUAAUGCCAUUAAUUUGGUGUUGCAGGGAGACUGGACUGUUACUUUGAAAAAAUUAGAGUGUUUAAAGCAGGCUAACGCUUGAAUACAUUAGCAUGGAAUAAUGAAAUAGGACGUUCGAUCCUAUUUCGUUGGUUUCUAGGAUUGACGUAAUGAUUAAUAGGGAUAGUUGGGGGCAUUAGUAUUCAAUUGUCAGAGGUGAAAUUCUUGGAUUUAUUGAAGACUAACUACUGCGAAAGCAUUUGCCAAGGAUGUUUUCAUUAAUCAAGAACGAAAGUUAGGGGAUCGAAGACGAUCAGAUACCGUCGUAG
rnacentral:rRNA from 1 species